rnacentral:rRNA from 1 species
UUACUGACGCUAAAGCUCGAAGGUGCGGGUAUCGAACAGGAUUAGAUACCCUGGUAGUCCGCACGGUAAACGAUGGAUGCCCGCUGUUUGCGAUAUACUGUGAGCGGCCAAGCGAAAGCGUUAAGCAUCCCACCUGGGGAGUACGCCGGCAACGGUGAAACUCAAAGGAAUUGACGGGGGCCCGCACAAGCGGAGGAACAUGUGGUUUAAUUCGAUGAUACGCGAGGAACCUUACCCGGGCUUGAACUGCAGCAGAACGAUUGAGAGAUCAUGAGGUCCUUCGGGACUGCUGUGGAGGUGCUGCAUGGUUGUCGUCAGCUCGUGCCGUGAGGUGUCGGCUUAAGUGCCAUAACGAGCGCAACCCCUCUCUUCAGUUGCCAUCACUUCGGGUGGGCACUCUGGAGACACUGCCACCGUAAGGUGUGAGGAAGGUGGGGAUGACGUCAAAUCAGCACGGCCCUUACGUCCGGGGCUACACACGUGUUACAAUGGGUGGUACAGAGCGUCGGCCGCCGGCAACGUCGGUCCAAUCGUGAAAUCCAUCCUCAGUUCGGACUGGGGUCUGCAACCCGACCCCACGAAGCUGGAUUCGCUAGUAAUC